CCCUUAACCAACAGUGCAGUUCAAGAAGAAGAAAAUAUUUACCAAGGAGACUAAAAUACAAAGUUAUAAUAAAAAGUAACACAAUAAGAACAACAAUAAUGAGGUUAAAUACAGGGGGAACCGGUACCGAGCCAGUGUGGAGGUUAUAUACAGGGGGUACCGGUACAGAGUCAAUGUGGAGGUUAUAUACAGGGGGUACUGGUACAGAGUCAAUGUGGAGGCUAUAUACAGGGGGUACUGGUACAGAGUCAAUGUGGAGGCUAUAUACAGGGGGUCCUGGUACAGAGUCAAUGUGGAGGCUAUAUACAGGGGGUACCGGUACAGAGUCAGUGUGGAGGUUAUAUACAGGGGGUACCGGUACAGAGUCAAUGUGGAGGCUAUAUACAGGGGGUCCUGGUACAGAGUCAAUGUGGAGGCUAUAUACAGGGGGUACCGGUACAGAGUCAAUGUGGAGGCUAUAUACAGGGGUACAGAGUCAAUGUGGAGGCUAUAUACAGGAGUACUGGUACAGAGUCAAUGUGGAGGCUAUAUACAGGGGGUACCGGUACAGAGUCAAUGUGGAGGCUAUAUACAGGGGUACCGGUACAGAGUCAAUGUGGAGGCUAUAUACAGGGGUCCUGGUACAGAGUCAAUGUGGAGGCUAUAUACAGG
ensembl:lncRNA